UGCCAGACUCCUACGGGAGGCAGCAGUGGGGAAUAUUGCACAAUGGGGGAAACCCUGAUGCAGCGACGCCGCGUGAGUGAAGAAGUAAUUCGUUAUGUAAAGCUCUAUCAGCAGGGAAGAAAAUGACGGUACCUGAGUAAGAAGCCCCGGCUAGCUACGUGCCAGCAGCCGCGGUAAUACGUAGGGGGCAAGCGUUAUCCGGAUUUACUGGGUGUAAAGGGAGCGUAGACGGCAGUGCAAGUCUGGAGUGAAAGGCGGGGGUUCAACCCCCGGACUGCUCUGGAAACUGUAUAGCUGGAGUGCAGGAGAGGUAAGUGGAAUUCCUAGUGUAGCGGUGAAAUGCGUAGAUAUUAGGAGGAACACCGGCGGCGAAGGCGGCCUGCUGGACCGUAACUGACGUUGAGGCUCGAAAGCGUGGGGAGCAAACAGGAUUAGAUACCCGAGUAC
rnacentral:rRNA from 1 species